rnacentral:misc_RNA from 1 species
CGGCCCGCAACUGGUCCUUGUCGGCCUGGAUCUCGGCCAUCGAGAGCGGGGUCGCGGCUUCGAGGCGCUUCGUCGUCAGCCGGACCGCACGGUUAUGGACCAGCGGCACGAUCAUCAGACCGAACAGCAUCGAGACCAGAAAACCGAUCGCCAAAUACAUGAUCGGUUCGACCAUAUGUGUGACCCCUGAGCUAGAUUAAAUCGUUUUUUACCAUGCCACGGCGGGCGGGGAAAAAGCUAGCGGGACAGCGUGUUAACGUGAAUCAG